GUUGAAAUACCCGUUCUCGUACGAUCACCGAAGUUAAGCAACAUCUAGCCUGGUAAGUACCUAAGAUGGGUAACCGCUUCGGAAUACCAGUUGCUGUA